UAUUUAGAAAACCAUUUCUUAUUGUGUAAGUACAUUGAUUCAUAUUUGACAUUGGUUUUUAUUUUUGAUUGUUUCUUGAUGGUGGAGAACUUCAUCUUCACGGCACUGAGUUUUUCUAGUACGGAGAUUCCUUCUGCUGUCGGGUGGUUUGUCUUUUCUUGGAUCACAGGGCUUUUUGGGUCCCAGACUAGCUCUUAGCUUUGACUUUUGGAUCAGGAUUCCUGUGCUCUGAGGAUAAGGUAAAUGUGCUACGCCACCCCUACAGAGGAAAGGCCGUGGAAGACUUUAGGAGACCCCAUUUUGGGAACAUAAUCACUCUGAAUGAAGAAACUAAAGGAAAUAAAGUGUGGUAUAUUUGGAGGAAGUAGGAUUGGGAUGAGGUAAAGUCUUUUAUGUGCUAAAAACAAGAUUGCCCUGUGACUUCUUGAUGAAGGCAAGUCAUCAUAAAUGCUUAAACCAUUUGACUUAAUAUUUUUGUGUGUGUGAGUGAGGAAGAUUGGCCCUGAGCUAACAUCUGUUGCCAAUCCUCUUUUUGCUGAGGAAGACUGGCCCUGAGCUAACAUCUGUGCCCAUCUUCCUCUGUUGUGUAUGUGAGGCAUGAUCACAGCAUGGCUUGAUGAGCGGCGACUCCAUCCACGCCUGGGAUCUGAACCUGUGAACCCUGGGCUGCUAAAGUGGAGUGCAUGAGCUUAACCACUAUACCACUGGGCUGGCCCCAACUUAAUAUUUAAUAAGGAUGUACCUUUAACUUAUAUCAAUCCACCCUAGUUCUGAGCUCAAUUUCUUUUUGACUCAUUUAUUUUUCUCACGUCCUGAAAGAGGAAGGGUGGAAGCUCUCUAUGAAAGCAGGCCAAGUGUAUCCUUGAUAUUCGUACUUCCAAAGGCAGGCAGGAACCUCUCUAGAACAACUCCUACGUCCUUUCAGCACAGCUCCAGAGUCCUUGAAAUUAUUCUUGUUUUACUCCAGAUCAAUCCUGAGGUUCUCUCCACCCAAGACAUGGAGUCAGCUACUCUCCCAGGAGUCCUGUUUCAUUAUAG
rnacentral:lncRNA from 1 species